rfam:Clostridium magnum DSM 2767 CLMAG_contig000001, whole genome shotgun sequence.
GUUAAAUAAGUAAAUAUUCCGUAGACAGUAGGUGCGAAAGCAUAAUGGUUUACCAGCCUACCGAGGGUUCCAAUAUAAUUAGUAUAUUUGGUCUCUCUGUGUCUACGGAGAGACUUUUAAAUUAUAUAA